CGACCGCUGGCGGCAGGCUUACCACAUGCAAGUCGCACGGGCAUCUUCGGAUGUCAGUGGCAGACGGGUGAGUAACACGUGGGAACGUACCCUUCGGUUCGGAAUAACUCAGGGAAACUUGAGCUAAUACCGGAUACGCCCUUUUGGGGAAAGGUUUACUGCCGAAGGAUCGGCCCGCGUCUGAUUAGCUUGUUGGUGGGGUAACGGCCUACCAAGGCGACGAUCAGUAGCUGGUCUGAGAGGAUGAUCAGCCACACUGGGACUGAGACACGGCCCAGACUCCUACGGGAGGCAGCAGUGGGGAAUAUUGGACAAUGGGCGCAAGCCUGAUCCAGCCAUGCCGCGUGAGUGAUGAAGGCCUUAGGGUUGUAAAGCUCUUUUGUCCGGGACGAUAAUGACGGUACCGGAAGAAUAAGCCCCGGCUAACUUCGUG
rnacentral:rRNA from 1 species